GAUGAACGCUGGCGGCGUGCUUAAUACAUGCAAGUCGAACGGAGACAUUAGCAAUAAUGUUUUAGUGGCGAACGGGUGAGUAACGCGUUGGUGACCUGCCCCGAAGAGAGGGAUAACAGUCCGAAAGGAUUGCUAAUACCCCAUGUGGUUGUUUGGAUUAGAUGCCUUACAACUAAACGGAUUUAUUCGCUUCGGGAGGGACCUGCGUCCCAUCAGCUAGUUGGUAGGGUAACGGCCUACCAAGGCUAUGACGGGUAGGGGACCUGAAAGGGUGGCCCCCCCAAUGGAACUGAAACACGGUCCAUACACCUACGGGUGGCAGCAGUAGGGAAUAUUGGUUAAUCUGCGAAAGCGGGAACCAGCAACGCCGCGUGCACGAUGAAGGCCUUCGGGUUGUAAAGUGCUUUUUGAGAGGAUGAGGAAGGACAGUACUCUUAGAAUAAGCUUCGGCUACUACGUGCCAGCAGCCGCGGUAAAACGUAGGAAGCGAGCGUUAUCCGGAUUUACUGGGCGUAAAGCGUGUGUAGGCGGUUUGAUAAGUUGGAUGUGAAAGCUCCUGGCUUAACUGGGAGAGGUCGUUC
rnacentral:rRNA from 1 species